rnacentral:lncRNA from 1 species
CUUAUGCUAAUUGGCCUGUGGGCAGGCCAAAUUUUAUGGGGGGUGCAGGAGGUAGUGCUGACCCAAAUGAGGAGAUGGAGGAUGUUCUCGGAAGUGUAGGUGGUGAUGAAGAGGAGGAGGAUUGAAUUUGUGGAGUUUUGAGAGUGUUGAAUUUUUGAAUUUCUUUUACCAUGACUUUAUCUUAGCACUUUAAUUUUCUUAGCACUUUGUUUUUGGGAAUUUUGUAAUGUACUUUUUGGUGGCUCUAGUUCACCAUGACUUUAUCUUAGCACUUUAAUUUUUCUUUAGUAUUUUUAUAAUUGCAUGAGUACUUUUUGAAAUUUAAGUGUGUUUUUAAUCAAAUUGGUUUACCAACAUUUCUAUUUAAUUGUUCUUACGCUUAAG